GAAAUGCACAUAACAUGCUAUAACAGUCAAAAUAUGGCGCUGACAUCAUUGAUAUACAAAAACCCAAGAUGCACACUCAACGUCUAAAAAACGUCCUCAAAAAAUGAGCGCAACAUUCUAAAUUAUGCAAUGUGCGCUCAUUUCAAAUAGUCUCGCGUCGCUCGCGUCUGGGAGCAGACGUUAAAAAUGUCAAAGUGUUCUCUGAGAAAUUGUAAAAAUAUUACGUCAAGAAGGCUAAAAAAGGAUGGGAUAUCGUAUUUUCGAUUGAAAUACCGGAUGAUGGCGGUGAUACUGAAGUGUGUCCUACGGGUUCAAUGUUUAAUUUAGAAAUUGAAAAGAAAUUCAAAUCUCCUACCAGUUUUAGAAUCAGAAUUUUAACAUUUA